UAUGUUGUAGACUAAUUAGGGUAAGUCAUAAAUUUUUGGUAUUUACAAUUGAGUGUUCGAAUCACUCCAACAUAA
rfam:Chaetomium globosum CBS 148.51 scaffold_10 mitochondrial scaffold, whole genome shotgun sequence.